rnacentral:tRNA from 1 species
GCGGCGGUGGUGGAAAUCGGAAGACGCGAGGGAUUUCGAAUCCCUUAACACUGAGCGUGUUGUGCGGGUUCGAGACCCGUCCGCCGCA